rnacentral:lncRNA from 1 species
AAUUUUAUGAAUAAGAUGGACAAGACAAAGUGUGUUUCUGCACCAGUGAGAAAGCAUUUUUCACAUUCCAGACUACAUUAUUGCCAAACCUUCCACGGUCCGAUGAAGCACCAAGAGCUCAACCACAGCAAGAAGCAUCAUCGCCAUGGGCAUCAACCCAUGUACCUUGAGCCAAGUGUUGGAAAUAUGUCCUAGAGGCAAUAAU